CAGCCAUUGGGUAACAACGUGCUGAAUCCUCCUCACGCUCACAAAUGCCCCAUACUGCUCAUGUCCUGCUGUAAUCAUUUUUUCUUCCCAUCGAAAGCAAUGGCUUUUUCAGUCGUCUUUUCUAAGAGUCAACAUUGUAAUGAAUAAGAGGAGCAAGACGCUCAAGCUACCUGGCUCAUGAAAUGAGUUUGGCUUGCUGUUAAUCUAUGUUCACGUACACCUUGUAUCCAACACGUAGUGAUAGCAGUACAUUAUACAUUAAUCUACCUAACAAUAGAUGUCCUAAUCAACUUUUUAAAACUACAGUUUGUUACAUGAAAUCUGUGGAGUUAAAAAGUUUAAAUGACUUCAUUUAAAGCUAGUUUGUCUUUUUAAUGUAGAAAUGUCACCAUUUCAUUGUUCCAGACUCAAAUCUAUGUUUUCCUUGUAAUUAUUUAAACAAUUCUGUUUGAAGGUGUCA